AAGGCUUAGUUGAGUUGAGUUGUGGGUUAGGAGUAACAUUAAUCCAAUUAAUGGGGGCAGCAUUAAUUCAUACAAGGAGAGGUUCCAAGGAGUUCUUUUGGGUUAGGGGUCCCAUGGCCCCUGUCCCCCUAAUUCCGCCACUGGAUGAAAUGAAGAUCGAUGGAAAUAGGUUGAAGUUACAUGAGAGUAGUUAAUCUACUAAAUCUUUAGUUACUUAUGGAGGCAAAUAAUAAUUAAUAAGUUUGUAGUUUUCUUGUACUUGUACUGCUGAUAGAAUCCUGAAUUUCUGAUAUGAUGUUCUGUUAGUCUCCAUCUUGAUAAGCAAAGAAAAAGGACUACAGGGUACUAGGAGGCUUCAACCUGCAAAGUAUGAAGUAAUACACAAGACAAGGUUUAUGGAAAUCUUAAAAACAAAUUAAAGAACUUGAGAACCUCCUGUGUGAGUUAUGACUAAAAUAACAAGCUUUAAUCUAUCUGUCAAUGAUAAACAAGAGAGGCUGUUUUAGUAUUGUGAAGUUAUUGGUGUUGGAUGGGUAUUUGGGAAUUUACAUAUAGUGUAUUGUGAAAAAUAGACAUCGAGGCUAGGCGCCCCCCUUCAGGUGAGAAUUAAAAUGUUAACACAACUCCUCUUAAAUGUGUUAAUCUUAGCAUGACAAAUUUGUGUGAAAUCAUUAGAAUUCUUUUUUUUCCUUUUUUG
rnacentral:misc_RNA from 1 species